CAUUGAGAAGCUAUUCCAGCGUUAACCUUUUAAGUUAAAGAUAGGAAGACUAAGCCUUCCCUUAAUGG
rnacentral:tRNA from 1 species